rnacentral:tRNA from 1 species
UUCCUGGUGGCUCAGAUGGUAAAGAAUCUGCCUGCAAUGCAGGAGACCCAGGUUCAAUCCCUGGGUUGGGAA